UUUUUUAAUUGAAAACUGGGAUGAAGGGUUGAAACUAAAAAGAAGGUUUUGUUCUAUUAAAUUUGAAUUUUAAUUAAAAAUAAAAAUGUUUUUAUUUAUUUCUGGGACGACAAGACCCUAGAAGCUUAAAAAUUUAAUGUUUUUUGGUUGGGGCAAUUUGUUGAAAAUUAAUAUUUUUGAUUAAAAAUUUUUUAGAAAAAAAAAGUUACUCUAGGGAUAACAGCGUUAUUUAGUUAACAAGUUCUUAUUAAUAGCUAAGUUUGCGACCUCGAUGUUGAAUUAAUUUUUAUUUUUGGUGAAGAAGCUAAAGUAAGGGGAGUCUGUUCGACUUAUAAUAUUUUACAUGAUUUGAGUUCAAACCGGUUUAAGCCAGGUCGGUUCUUAUC
rnacentral:rRNA from 1 species